rnacentral:rRNA from 1 species
UCGAGCGGUAUACAGAGAGUAGCUUGCUACUUUGCUGACGAGCGGCGGACGGGUGAGUAAUGCUUGGGAAUAUGCCUUUUGGUGGGGGACAACAGUUGGAAACGACUGCUAAUACCGCAUGAUGUCUACGGACCAAAGUGGGGGACCUUCGGGCCUCACGCCAAAAGAUUAGCCCAAGUGGGAUUAGCUAGUUGGUAAGGUAAUGGCUUACCAAGGCGACGAUCCCUAGCUGGUUUGAGAGGAUGAUCAGCCACACUGGGACUGAGACACGGCCCAGACUCCUACGGGAGGCAGCAGUGGGGAAUAUUGCACAAUGGGCGCAAGCCUGAAUGCAGCCAUGCCGCGUGCGUGAAGAAGGCCUUCGGGUUGUAAAGCACUUUCAGUAAGGAGGAAAGGUUAAGUUUUAAUAGAGCUUAGCUGUGACGUUACUUACAGAAGAAGCACCGGCUAACUCCGUGCCAGCAGCCGCGGUAAUACGGAGGGUGCGAGCGUUAAUCGGAAUUACUGGGCGUAAAGCGUACGCAGGCGGUAUAUGUUAAGCGAGAUGUGAAAGCCCCGGGCUCAACCUGGGAACUGCAUUUCGAACUGGCAAACUAGAGUGUGAUAGAGGGUGGUAGAAUUUCAGGCGUAGCAGUGAAAUGCGUAGAGAUCUGAAGGAAUACCGAUGGCGAAGGCAGCCACCUGGGUCAACACUGACGCUCAUGUACGAAAGCGUGAGGAGCAAACAGGAUUAGAUACCCUGGUAGUCCACGCCGUAAACGAUGUCUACUAGAAGCUCGGGUCCUCGGACUUGUUUUUCAAAGCUAACGCAU